rnacentral:rRNA from 1 species
AGUGAACGCUGGCGGCAGGCCUAAUACAUGCAAGUCGAACGGCAGCACGGCAGAGCUUGCUCUGUGGGUGGCGAGUGGCGGACGGGUGAGGAAUACAUGGGAAUCUGCCCAGUCGUGGGGGAUAACGUAGGGAAACUUACGCUAAUACCGCAUGCGCCCUUCGGGGGAAAGCCGGGGACCUUCGGGCCUGGCGCGAUUGGAUGAGCCCAUGUCGGAUUAGCUAGUUGGCGGGGUAAUGGCCCACCAAGGCGACGAUCCGUAGCUGGUCUGAGAGGAUGAUCAGCCACACUGGAACUGAGACACGGUCCAGACUCCUACGGGAGGCAGCAGUAGGGAAUAUUGGACAAUGGGCGCAAGCCUGAUCCAGCCAUGCCGCGUGAGUGAAGAAGGCCCUCGGGUUGUAAAGCUUCUUUUGUCCGGAAAGAAAAGCGCCGGGUUAAUACCCUGGUGUCCUGACGGUACCGGAAGAAUAAGCACCGGCUAACUUCGUGCCAGC